UACGGGGGGGGGCAAGCGUUGUUCGGAAUUAUUGGGCGUAAAGGGCGCGUAGGCGGCUUGGUAAGUCAAAGGUGAAAUCCCUCGGCUCAACUGAGGAACUGCCUUUGAAACUGCCUGGCUUGAGGCCGGGAGGGGGUAGCGGAAUUCCCAAUGUAGCGGUGAAAUGCGUAGAUAUUGGGAGGAACACCGGUGGCGAAGGCGGCUACCUGGACCGGUUCUGACGCUGAUGCGCGAAAGCGUGGGGAGCAAACGGG
rnacentral:rRNA from 1 species